GCCCAAUGGCACCCCCUCCCUGCGCUCGUUCAUCCAGACGCGAAGACUCAGUAAGAUCUGUCGUGCGUAGCACCUGCCGACCAGGCAUGACAAAGCGUAGCACCUGUCGGCCAGGCAUGACCUGACAUCACCACCGAAGCUCCGUGCAGGACGAAGACGCUCCACCUUCUGCCUCCGUCUUUCAGCGCUGCUCCACAAACGUUGCU
rnacentral:lncRNA from 1 species